rnacentral:snRNA from 1 species
AGCUUUGUGCAGUGGCAGUAUUGUAGCCAAUGAGGUUUACCUGAGGAGCAAUUAUUGCUAUUUGAAAAUUUCACAGGCUUUUUAAAAAUUAAUCCC